AGUCGAACGAAGUAGCAAUACUUAGUGGCAGACGGGUGAGUAACAUGUAGGUAUCUACCCUUUGGCCUGGAAUAACACGAGGAAACUUGUGCUAAUACCGGAUAAGUCUUUACGGAGAAAGCUUUAUGCACCAUUGGAUGAGCCUGCACUUGAUUAGUUUGUUGGUGGGGUAAUGGCCUACCAAGACUUUGAUCAAUAGCUGAUUUGAGAGGAUGAUCAGCCACAUUGGGACUGAGACACGGCCCAAACUCCUACGGGAGGCAGCAGUGGGGAAUCUUGCACAAUGGAGGAAACUCUGAUGCAGCGAUGCCGCGUGAGUGAAGAAGGCCCUUGGGUUGUAAAGCUCUUUCGUCGGGGAAGAAAAUGACUGUACCCGAAUAAGAAGGUCCGGCUAACUUCGUGCC
rnacentral:rRNA from 1 species